AGUUUUCAAUGUUCAAAGCGCACUGUAACUACUCUAGAGUCUGCUCUUGAGACUUUGCUCUAAUUUUUGGGACAAUUAUGGCAGGAUUCGUGAUUCAGGAACUGC